rnacentral:miRNA from 1 species
UAUUAAUCAAAAUGCUGAUGUUAAUAAUGCAUUGUAUGGCUUACAGACUCAACUGUAUGCCAUACAAUGCACUAUUAACAUCAGCAUUCCGC